rnacentral:misc_RNA from 1 species
GAUGAAGAACGUAGCGAAAUGCGAUAAGUAAUGUGAAUUGCAGAAUUCAGUGAAUCAUCGAAUCUUUGAACGCACCUUGCGCCCUUUGGCCAUUCCGAAGGGCAUGCCUGUUUGAGUAUCAUGAACACCUCAACUCUUUAUGGUUUUCCAUGAUGAGCUUGGACUCUGGGGGUUUUGCUGGCUCACAGUCGGCUCCUCUAAAAUGAAUCAGCUUACCAGUGUUUGGUGGGUAUCAUGGGUGUGAUAACUAUCUACGCUUGUGGUUUCUCCACCAGGUAACCUUCAGCAGUGGAGGUUCGCUGGAGCUCAUAGAUGUCUCUCCUCAGUGAGGACAGCCCUUUGAAUGUUUGAUCUCAAAUCAGGUAGGACUACCCGCUGAACUUAAGCAUAUCAAUAAGCGGAGGA